rnacentral:rRNA from 1 species
AACGAACGCUGGCGGCAGGCCUAACACAUGCAAGUCGAACGCACCGCAAGGUGAGUGGCGCACGGGUGAGUAACACGUGGGAAUGUACCCUUUGGUUCGGAAUAACGUCUGGAAACGGACGCUAAUACCGGAUGAGCCCUGCGGGGGAAAGAUUUAUCGCCAAAGGAGCAGCCCGCGUCUGAUUAGCUAGUUGGUGGGGUAAAGGCCUACCAAGGCGACGAUCAGUAGCUGGUCUGAGAGGAUGAUCAGCCACACUGGGACUGAGACACGGCCCAGACUCCCACGGGAGGCAGCAGUGGGGAAUAUUGGACAAUGGGCGGAAGCCUGAUCCAGCCAUGCCGCGUGAGUGAUGAAGGCCUUCGGGUUGUAAAGCUCUUUCGCACGCGACGAUGAUGACGGUAGCGUGAGAAGAAGCCCCGGCUAACUUCGUGCCAGCCGCCGCUGUAACAC